rnacentral:rRNA from 1 species
GACGAACGCUGGCGGCGUGCCUAAUACAUGCAAGUCGAACGCACUCUCGUUAGAUUGAAGAAGCUUGCUUCUGAUUGAUAACAUUUGAGUGAGUGGCGGACGGGUGAGUAACACGUGGGUAACCUGCCCUAAAGUGGGGGAUAACAUUUGGAAACAGAUGCUAAUACCGCAUAAAACCUAGCACCGCAUGGUGCAAGGUUGAAAGAUGGUUUCGGCUAUCACUUUAGGAUGGACCCGCGGUGCAUUAGUUAGUUGGUGAGGUAAAGGCUCACCAAGACCGUGAUGCAUAGCCGACCUGAGAGGGUAAUCGGCCACACUGGGACUGAGACACGGCCCAGACUCCUACGGGAGGCAGCAGUAGGGAAUCUUCCACAAUGGACGAAAGUCUGAUGGAGCAACGCCGCGUGAGUGAAGAAGGUUUUCGGAUCGUAAAACUCUGUUGUUGGAGAAGAACGUAUUUGAUAGUAACUGAUCAGGUAGUGACGGUAUCCAACCAGAAAG